rnacentral:rRNA from 1 species
UACAGAGGGGGCAAGCGUUAUUCGGAAUUAUUGGGCGUAAAGGGCGCGUAGGCGGCGAUUCAAGUGACGGGUGAAAUCCCUCGGCUUAACCGAGGAACUGCCUGUCAGACUGGAUUGCUUGAGGCCGGGAGAGGCGAGUGGAAUUCCCAGUGUAGCGGUGAAAUGCGUAGAUAUUUGGGAGGAACACCAGUGGCGAAGGCGGCUCGCUGGACCGGUUCUGACGCUGAGGCGCGAAAGCGUGGGGAGCAAACAGG